AUGAACGCUGGCGGCGUGCCUCAUACAUGCAAGUCGAGCGAACGGACGAGAAGCUUGCUUCUCUGAUGUUAGCGGCGGACGGGUGAGUAACACGUGGAUAACCUACCUAUAAGACUGGGAUAACUUCGGGAAACCGGAGCUAAUACCGGAUAAUAUUUUGAACCGCAUGGUUCAAAAGUGAAAGACGGUCUUGCUGUCACUUAUAGAUGGAUCCGCGCUGCAUUAGCUAGUUGGUAAGGUAACGGCUUACCAAGGCAACGAUGCAUAGCCGACCUGAGAGGGUGAUCGGCCACACUGGAACUGAGACACGGUCCAGACUCCUACGGGAGGCAGCAGUAGGGAAUCUUCCGCAAUGGGCGAAAGCCUGACGGAGCAACGCCGCGUGAGUGAUGAAGGUCUUCGGAUCGUAAACCUCUGUUAUUAGGGAAGAACAUAUGUGUAAGUAACUGUGCACAUCUUGACGGUACCUAAUCAGAAAGCCACGGCUAACUACGUG
rnacentral:rRNA from 1 species